AAGGACUACCGGGGUUUUUAAUCCUGUUUGCUCCCCACGCUUUCGUGCAUGAGCGUCAAUAUGAUCCCAGGGGGCUGCCUUCGCCAUUGAUAUUCCUCCACAUCUCUACGCAUUUCACUGCUACACGUGGAAUUCUACCCCCCUCUGACCUAUUCUAGUCUUGUAGUUUCAAACGCAGUUCCCAAGUUGAGCUCGGGGAUUUCACAUCUGACUUACAAAACCGCCUGCGCACGCUUUACGCCCAGUAAUUCCGAUUAACGCUCGCACCCUACGUAUUACCGCGGCUGCUGGCACCC
rnacentral:misc_RNA from 1 species